AUUGAACGCUGGCGGCAGGCCUAACACCUGCAAGUCGAACGAGUGGCGGACGGGUGAGUAAUGUCUGGGAAACUGCCUGAUGGAGGGGGAUAACUACUGGAAACGGUAGCUAAUACCGCAUACCAUCGGAUGUGCCCAGAUGGGAUUAGCUAGUAGGGGGGGUAAAGGCUCACCUAGGCGACGAUCCCUAACGGGUCUGAGAGGCUGACCAGCGACACGGGCACUGAGAAACGGUCCAGAGUCCGACGGGAGGCAGCAGUGGGGAAUAUUGCACAAUGGGCGCAAGCCGGAUGCAGCCAUGCCGCGUGUAUGAAGAAGGCCUUCGGGUUGUAAAGUACUUUCAGCGGGGAGGCGUUACCCGCAGAAGAAGCACCGGCUAACUCCGUGCCAGCAGCCGCGGUAAUAC
rnacentral:rRNA from 1 species